rnacentral:rRNA from 1 species
CGAAACCAGGCCAACGUCGCGUGCAGGAUGACGGCCCUAUGGGUUGUAAACUGCUUUUAUACGGGAAUAAAGUGAGGCACGUGUGCCUUUUUGUAGGUACCGUAUGAAUAAGGACCGGCUAAUUCAGUGCCAGCAGCCGCGGUAAUAAUUA